GGAAGACGUAGAAGACAGGACGCUUUCCCUUCGGGAAGCGAGCGUACACAGGUGCUGCACGGCUGUCGUCAGCUCGUGUCGUGAGAUGUUGGGUUAAGUCCCGCACGAGCGCAACCCUGCAUUCAGUUGCCAUCGGGUAAUGCCGGGCACUCUGGAAGGACUGCCAUCGACAAGAUGGAGGAAGGUGGGGAUGACGUCAAGUCAUCAUGGCCCUUACGGCCUGGGCUACACACGUGCUACAAUGGUCGGUACAAAGGGUUGCCAAGCCGCGAGGUGGAGCUAAUCCCAUAAAACCGAUCGUAGUCCGGAUCGCAGUCUGCAACUCGACUGCGUGAAGUCGGAAUCGCUAGUAAUCGUGAAUCAGAAUGUCACGGUGAAUACGUUCCCGGGCCUU
rnacentral:rRNA from 1 species